UUUUGUUACCAUAUAAACGUCAGA
rnacentral:piRNA from 1 species